rnacentral:rRNA from 1 species
AGAGUUUGAUCCUGGCUUAGGAUGAACGCUGGCGGCGUGCCUAAUACAUGCAAGUCGAACGAGGUAGCAAUACCGAGUGGCGAACGGGUGAGUAACACGUAGGUAACCUGCCCUUAAGCUUGGGAUACCCAGAGGAAACUUUGGCUAAUACCGGAUAACAACAGAGAAGGCAUCUUCUUUGCUUGAAAGGCCCCUUCAAGGGUCACUUAAGGAUGGACCUGCGGCGCAUUAGCUAGUUGGUGAGAUAACAGCCCACCAAGGCGAGGAUGCGUAGCCGAACUGAGAGGUUGAUCGGCCACAUUGGAACUGAGACGCGGUCCAAACUCCUACGGGAGGCAGCAGUAAGGAGUUUUCGGCAAUGGGGGAAACCCUGAACCCGAGCAGCGCCGCGUGAGGGAAGAAGGUUUUCGGAUCGUAAACCUCUGUCCUUGGUGAAGAGGAAGAGACGGUAGCCAAGGAGGAAGCCCCGGCUAACUACGUGCCAGCAGCUGC